rnacentral:rRNA from 1 species
GAGUCAGACCUGCCCAGUGAACAUAUUUUUAACGGCCGCGGUACUCUGACCGUGCAAAGGUAGCAUAAUCAUUUGCCCUAUAAUUGAGGGCUAGUAUGAAUGGUUCGACGUGAACAAAACUGUCUCUAUGUAAUUUUUUAGAACUUGAUUUUUAGGUGAAGAAACCUAAAUGUUAUUGAAAGACAAGAAGACCCUAUUGAGCUUUAAAAAAAUAAAUUGAAAAUAAUAUAUAAUUUUAAAUAUUAAUCUAUUGAAAAUUUUGGUUGGGGCGACUAUGGAACAAAUAAAGCUUCUUUAUUGUAAUUAAAACUGACAAGUAUUGAUCCAGAAAUUUUGAUCAAUGAAAUUAGUUACCAUAGGGAUAACAGCAUAAUUCUCUUUGAGAGCCCUCAUCGAAAAGAGAGUUUGUGACCUCGAUGUUGGACUAGAAUAUCCUAAAGAUGUAGCAGUCUUUAAGGGUUGGUC